AUUGAACGCUGGCGGCAUGCCUUACACAUGCAAGUCGAACGGCAGCGGACCUUCGGGUGCCGGCGAGUGGCGAACGGGUGAGUAAUGUAUCGGAACGUACCUUUCAGUGGGGGAUAACGUAGCGAAAGUUACUCUAAUACCGCAUAUUCUGUGAGCAGGAAAGCAGGGGAUCGCAAGACCUUGCGCUGAUUGAGCGGCCGAUAUCAGAUUAGCUAGUUGGUGAGGUAAAGGCUCACCAAGGCGACGAUCUGUAGCGGGUCUGAGAGGAUGAUCCGCGACGCUGGACCUGAGACACGGUCCAGACUCCUACGGGAGGCAGCAGUGGGGAAUUUUGGACAAUGGGGGCAACCCUGAUCCAGCCAUGCCGCGGGAGUGAAGAAGGCCUUCGGGUUGUAAAGCUCUUUCGGCCGGGAAGAAAUCGUAUGGGUUAAUACCCUGUGCGGAUGACGGUACCGGCAUAAGAAGCACCGGCUAACUACGUGCCAGCCGCCGCGGUAACAC
rnacentral:rRNA from 1 species